rnacentral:rRNA from 1 species
GAUGUAUAGGAGCUGACGCCGGACCGGUGCGGGAAGGGUAGGGGCAUGUGUAAGAGAAAUGGAAGCAGUGAACUGAAGCCCCAGUAAACGGGGUCCGUAAAUAUAACGGGCAUAAGGUAGCGAAGUUCCUUGUCGGUGAAGUUCCGAACCGGAAGAAAGGCGUAACGAUUUGGGCACUGUCUCAACAACAGACUCGGUGAAAUUGUAAUUCCGGUGAAGAUGCAGGAUACCUGCGACAGGACGGAAAGACCCCAUGGAGCUUUACGGUAGCUUGACAUUGGGUCUUGGUACUACAUGUACAGGAUAGGUGGGGGGCUUUGAAACCAGGACGCCAGUUUUGGCGGAGCCAUCCUUGGGAAAGAAGACUUGUAGUACGGGGACGCUAACCCUAGGCAGGGGAUCAGGUCUUGGGACCUGUCU